rnacentral:rRNA from 1 species
GACGUAGGGGGCCAGCGUUGUUCGGAAUUACUGGGUGUAAAGGGUUCGUAGGCGGUGUGGCAAGUCGGGAGUGAAAUCUCUGGGCUCAACCCAGAGACUGCUUCCGAAACUGCUGUGCUUGAGUGUGAGAGAGGCUCGUGGAAUUGCAGGUGUAGCGGUGAAAUGCGCAGAUAUCAGGAGGAACACCAAUGGCGAAGGCAGCACUCUGGGACGUGACUGACGCUGAGACGCGAAAGCGUGGGGAGCAAACAGG